AUUUAACACCCUGCGCUAGGGAUGGUAGUGGAAAUCCUUUUUGUGAGGUACGAUCAAAAAGAUUGUAGCGAACAGCCCGCCUGAGC
rnacentral:sRNA from 1 species